GAUGAACGCUGGCGGCGUGCCUAAUACAUGCAAGUCGAGCGAACAGAUGAGGAGCUUGCUCCUCUGACGUUAGCGGCGGACGGGUGAGUAACACGUGGAUAACCUACCUAUAAGACUGGGAUAAAUUCGGGAAACCGGAGCUAAUACCGGAUAAUAUAUUGAACCGCAUGGUUCAAUAGUGAAAGACGGUUUUGCUGUCACUUAUAGAUGGAUCCGCGCCGCAUUAGCUAGUUGGUAAGGUAACGGCUUACCAAGGCAACGAUGCGUAGCCGACCUGAGAGGGUGAUCGGCCACACUGGAACUGAGACACGGUCCAGACUCCUACGGGAGGCAGCAGUAGGGAAUCUUCCGCAAUGGGCGAAAGCCUGACGGUGCAACGCCGCGUGAGUGAUGAAGGUCUUCGGAUCGUAAAACUCUGUUAUUAGGGAAGAACAAAUGAGUAAGUAACUAUGCACGUCUUGACGGUACCUAAUCAGAAAGCCACGGCUAACUACGUG
rnacentral:rRNA from 1 species